GAACUCUGGUAUUGAUUGGUGCUUGCAUCAUGAUUUACAUUUGAGUGAGUGGCGAACUGGUGAGUAACACGUGGGAAACCUGCCCAGAAGCGGGGGAUAACACCUGGAAACAGAUGCUAAUACCGCAUAACAACUUGGACCGCAUGGUCCGAGUUUGAAAGAUGGCUUCGGCUAUCACUUUUGGAUGGUCCCGCGGCGUAUUAGCUAGAUGGUGAGGUAACGGCUCACCAUGGCAAUGAUACGUAGCCGACCUGAGAGGGUAAUCGGCCACAUUGGGACUGAGACACGGCCCAAACUCCUACGGGAGGCAGCAGUAGGGAAUCUUCCACAAUGGACGAAAGUCUGAUGGAGCAACGCCGCGUGAGUGAAGAAGGGUUUCGGCUCGUAAAACUCUGUUGUUAAAGAAGAACAUAUCUGAGAGUAACUGUUCAGGUAUUGACGGUAUUUAACCAGAAAGCCACGGCUAACUACGUGCCAGCAGCCGCGGUAAUACGUAGGUGGCAAGCGUUGUCCGGAUUUAUUGGGCGUAAAGCGAGCGCAGGCGGUUUUUUAAGUCUGAUGUGAAAGCCUUCGGCUCAACCGAAGAAGUGCAUCGGAAACUGGGAAACUUGAGUGCAGAAGAGGACAGUGGAACUCCAUGUGUAGCGGUGAAAUGCGUAGAUAUAUGGAAGAACACCAGUGGCGAAGGCGGCUGUCUGGUCUGUAACUGACGCUGAGGCUCGAAAGUAUGGGUAGCAAACAGGAUUAGAUACCCUGGUAGUCCAUACCGUAAACGAUGAAUGCUAAGUGUUGGAGGGUUUCCGCCCUUCAGUGCUGCAGCUAACGCAUUAAGCAUUCCGCCUGGGGAGUACGGCCGCAAGGCUGAAACUCAAAGGAAUUGACGGGGGCCCGCACAAGCGGUGGAGCAUGUGGUUUAAUUCGAAGCUACGCGAAGAACCUUACCAGGUCUUGACAUACUAUGCAAAUCUAAGAGAUUAGACGUUCCCUUCGGGGACAUGGAUACAGGUGGUGCAUGGUUGUCGUCAGCUCGUGUCGUGAGAUGUUGGGUUAAGUCCCGCAACGAGCGCAACCCUUAUUAUCAGUUGCCAGCAUUAAGUUGGGCACUCUGGUGAGACUGCCGGUGACAAACCGGAGGAAGGUGGGGAUGACGUCAAAUCAUCAUGCCCCUUAUGACCUGGGCUACACACGUGCUACAAUGGAUGGUACAACGAGUUGCGAACUCGCGAGAGUAAGCUAAUCUCUUAAAGCCAUUCUCAGUUCGGAUUGUAGGCUGCAACUCGCCUACAUGAAGUCGGAAUCGCUAGUAAUCGCGGAUCAGCAUGCCGCGGUGAAUACGUUCCCGGGCCUUGUACACACCGCCCGUCACACCAUGAGAG
rnacentral:rRNA from 2 species